GGAGCAUGGUUCUUUACAGUUCGGAUAUUGGGCGUAAGAGCUCGUAGGCGGUUUGUCGCGUCUGCUGUGAAAGACCGGGGCUCAACUCCGGUUCUGCAGUGGGUACGGGCAGACUAGAGUGCAGUAGGGGAGACUGGAAUUCCUGGUGUAGCGGUGAAAUGCGCAGAUAUCAGGAGGAACACCGAUGGCGAAGGCAGGUCUCUGGGCUGUAACUGACGCUGAGGAGCGAAAGCAUGGGGAGCGAACAGGAUUAGAUACCCUGGUAGUCCAUGCCGUAAACGUUGGGCACUAGGUGUGGGGGACAUUCCACGUUUUCCGCGCCGUAGCUAACGCAUUAAGUGCCCCGCCUGGGGAGUACGGCCGCAAGGCUAAAACUCAAAGGAAUUGACGGGGGCCCGCACAAGCGGCGGAGCAUGCGGAUUAAUUCGAUGCAACGCGAAGAACCUUACCAAGGCUUGACAUGAACCGGUAAUACCUGGAAACAGGUGCCCCGCUUGCGGUCGGUUUACAGGUGGUGCAUGGUUGUCGUCAGCUCGUGUCGUGAGAUGUUGGGUUAAGUCCCGCAACGAGCGCAACCCUCGUUCUAUGUUGCCAGCGCGUUAUGGCGGGGACUCAUAGGAGACUGCCGGGGUCAACUCGGAGGAAGGUGGGGACGACGUCAAAUCAUCAUGCCCCUUAUGUCUUGGGCUUCACGCAUGCUACAAUGGCCGGUACAAAGGGUUGCGAUACUGUGAGGUGGAGCUAAUCCCAAAAAGCCGGAUCUCAGUUCGGAUUGGGGUCUGCAACUCGACCCCAUGAAGUCGGAGUCGCUAGUAAUCGCAGAUCAGCAACGCUGCGGUGAAUACGUUCCCGGGGCCUUGUACACACCGCCCGUCAAGUCACGAAAGUUGGUAACACCCGAAGCCGGUGGGCCUAACCCUUGUGGGGGGAGCCGUCGAAGUGGGACCGGCGAUUGGGACUAAGUCGUACCAAAGGUAAGCCAA
rnacentral:rRNA from 1 species